rnacentral:rRNA from 1 species
GCAUCGAUGAAGAACGUAGCGAAAUGCGAUACUUGGUGUGAAUUGCAGAAUCCCGUGAACCAUCGAGUCUUUGAACGCAAGUUGCGCCCGAGGCCAUCCGGUCGAGGGCACGCCUGCCUGGGCGUCACGCCU